rnacentral:rRNA from 1 species
ACCUCAAAUCAGGUAAGGAUACCCGCUGAACUUAAGCAUAUCAAUAAGCGGAGGAAAAGAAAAUAACAAUGAUUCCCCUAGUAACUGCGGGUGAAGAGGGAAGAGCACAAAUUUAAAAUCUACCUGGUUUCCAGGUCGAGUUGUAAUUUGAAGAUACGUUUUCGAUGUUCCUGGUUGGACUAAAUCCUUUGGGAUAAGGUAUCAUAGAGGGUGAGAAUCCCGUGUACACCAACCAUAGGGAUGUUAUUUAAUAACGUUUCUAAGAGUCGAGUUGUUUGGGAAUGCAGCUCUAAAUGGGUGGUAGAUUUCACCUAAUGCUAAAUAUAAGCGAGAGACCGAUAGCGAACAAGUACAGUGAUGGAAAGAUGAAAAGAACUUUGAAAAGAGAGUUAAAUAGUACGUGAAAUUGUUGAAAGGGAAACGAUUGAAGUUAGUCAUGCUGGCGGGAAUCAACUUAGGGGAAACUCUGGGUGCACUUCUUCGUUUGGCAGGUUAGCGUCGAUUUUGGAUGUCAUAAAAUGAUUGGGGGAAGGUAGCUCCUUCGGGAGUGUUAUAGCCCUUGGUAGAUGUGAUGUCUGGGAUCGAGGAUUGCAACGGAUACCCUUCGGGGCUAGUCGCCUGAUCCCUAAUUGGUGUUGGGUUACGGACAGCAUGCUGACCGUGAUCUAAUUACUGGUUAAAAGGUUAGAGCGUGCAUAAAUUCGUUAAGGACGCUGACGUAAUGGCUUUAAACGACCCGUCUUGAAACACGGACCAAGGAGUCUAACAUGUAUGCGAGUGUUAAGGG